GACACCUGCACCCAGGGUGUUCCUCACAGCAGCGAGCAUGCAAGGGGGUGCUUUCUGUAAGAACACGGACCCUUCCCCUUACUGUGGGAAAAUGCUGGCUUUCUCUCUCGAGUCAUUCUUCCUCUCUCUGGAGGCAGAUGGUGUGCCCAGUGCCCGUGUGCCGCUAGGGCCUGAGCGUGGAGCCUGGCCUGUCAUGGAGCCUAGGGGAGCUGGACGAUUCUGAGCCUUCUCCAGGGAGGCCUAUCCAUGGCUUCAAGGAAGGAUUUGAGGGCUGCUGGGGCAGGGGGGGACCACUGUCUCGGGAAUAAUCCCAAAUCAGCCUGCUUGUGGCCUCCGAUUUCCACUAGGUGCCUGCUUUGGAGUGAAGCAUUGAAGGCUCUGAUUAAAAAGCCAAACCACCGUGGGAGAGUGUAUAGAUUAAGUUGUUAGUUAUUCGCACCUUGGCUCUCAUCAGCUUAUUUCUGUUGAUUGUAUGCUCAGCUCUGUGCUCAGUCUCACUGUGGGGUUCAGGGGAAGGAGAAGGCCUAAUCUUGCCAGGGAGGAAGUCGCCCCCUGGGUGGAGCUGAAACAGCAUCGGAGGAAGGAUGAGAGGGAGGGUGAGAGGCAAGACCCUCUGCCAAGAGCAAGGUGUGGGAAGAGGGAUUCAAGAAAGUGAUUGACUGCUUGGGGUGAUUGCACGAGGCAUGCAAAAGAGAGAACAGCUUUCUCUAGGCGUGUGGGGGUGCUUGGUUGGGCUGGAAGCCGAGUCUGCAGAGCUGCCUGUCAGCAUGAUUGUGUUAUUUUCUCUAGCAGUGGGGACAGCCUGGAAACAGAAGUGGAGGACGAAGUUAUCACUGGCUGUGGAUUGACCAGGCAGGCACCCAGCAGUACAGCCAGCCUCCACUUUUUCUUCUUUUAUUUGGGACAGCAAAGCUUCGUGGUGACACUAAGGAGCUGGGACAGGGUGGAACAAGAAGAGGAGGAUGGAUGAUGGAGGAGGUGCUCAGAGUGGACAGGAGAAUCCACAGGCCAUGCCUCUCUUCCCUUAGCCAAAGCCCCUUUCAAGGAAGCCUCUGACUUCGGCUAAAAAUCCAAGGUUGCCAACAGGUUAACCAAGCCGGAAUUCAGACAGCUGGUUAGCGCCACACCUGUAUUAAGGAGAUGAGAUCAUGAGACUCAGGCCAGCUCCUCCCACGCUCUAGGACACCUGCCAGCCACUCUCUCCAGCCUUGUCACAGCCUUUGCAGCCAGACGCCAAGAUGCUCGGGCAAAAAACCUCACAAAAACCCUUGACACAAGAAUCUGUUGUCUCCAGAAGUGGAGGUGGCAUCUCACCAAGCAACACAAGUUCACCACUGUCUACUUGGCCUGCCUUCUGAGUGUUUGCUGCAAUUCUUCAAUCAGAAUACAAAUUCGGCUUAAAAUGGAAUCUAGCUCCAUAUUGAUAGCAACAACAGAGAUUUCAGACCUCCGUACUUCAAGAUCUUAGAUACCUAGCAGAGAUGCAUGCACGUAUUCACCAAAAAACUAUGCACCGGAAGGAUCAUGGCGGCGGCUACCCAGAUGUCUGUCGGCUGUGGAAUGGAUAGCUGCCAGCCAGGAGCCAGUCUCAGCAACUAGAGGCCUCUGCAAUCUUUGCCUUGUGGCCCCUUCUGUCUGCAAAGCCAACAACAAAGAAUUCGCCUCAUAUCCAUCCCUGUCAUGAUUCACAUCUUUCACCAGGAAGAGCCCCAUUCCUUGUAAGGGCUCAGUGGGUAAUGCCCACUGAGGACAACUUCCUUAUUUUAAGCCAGCUGAUUUAGGACUAAUUAUCAUCUGCAAAAUCCCUUCACAGCAGCACCUAGAUUUACAUUUAGUUGAAUACCUGAGAGAAUGUGUAUACAAGACAGGGAAAGGAAUCUUGGGGGUCAUCUUGUAAUCCUGUCCACCACACACAACAGCAUGGAUGGAUCUCACAACACGUUGAGCGAAAGAAGGCAGACACAACGAAUAUAUAAAUCCAUUUAUAUAAAACAAGUGAACAGGAAGUGAUUACUCUUGAGUGCAUAGUAACUGGAAAGGAGGAUGAGGGGGUUCCUGGGGGGCUGACAGUGUUUUACUUUCUUGAUCUGUGUGCCGGUUGCAUGAACGUGUUCAGCUUGUGAAAACUCAGUGAGCCGAACAUUUAGGAUUCGUGUACUUUUCUGUAAAUGUGUUAUGCUGCAAUUAAAAGUUUUUA